GUUAGAUCAACACAGUACAGAACUUCACAACACUGUUUAUUUUCAACACUUCGAUACUUGUCAGGAAAAUUGUUGGAAUCGACUUCCGGCGAGGUGGUCAGCUCCAACCAGGAGGGGAGGUGACUCGAUCAUCUGAGGCGCGGCUCUGUUCCUCGUCCCGAGGAACCAAUUUCAAGGGUGGCCAGGAAGCUGGAGCCACAUUCGCCACAACCUCCAUGUUUAAUUUGGUCAAACUGGAAGGCUCGAAACACUGCGCCACGUCUUUUCCCAGUGUCCCUGAUUCAAGAAGAUCAUCAUCAUCAAUUGGUGUUUCCUGGUGCUAGGCCAGGAAAAUGAUCAAUGCUUUGCAAUCUGGCCAUACCAUACACGAUCAUCAGGUGCACAGGAUGGUGGCGCGGCAUCAAUCGAAUGGCGAAGAGGAUGAAGAGCGAUAUGUUGGGCCUGCAGGACCCUCCACGACAAGCAACAUCAGAUGAUGAAGCGCAAAUGCGAGCAGUCUCAGUCCACCAACAGACUGCGAUCUGGAUUUUAGUCUCUUUCUGGUGGACGUCAGGAGCACAGUCUGAAGCCCCCAAUGGAGGAUCGGGCAGCGACUACCACACAAUUUAUUUGACUAGCCGAUCUCCAGCAGAAGGUCUGCCUCAACAACCGGGACAACCGCCUCCGCUGCCUUACUAAAAUCAGCAAGAAGACGCACUCAAAGCCCUAGUCCAGCAGGAGCCCUCCAGAAGGAGUAGCGGAUGCAGUCCGACCACGAGAAGGAAGCGGAGAGCAGCGACAAGACAGCGACGGUUCAAUAGAAGUACUGUCCUGCAAAACGGGAAGAAAUAUGUUCGCCGGAAAAGGAGAUGCAAAUGCCGCAGGGACUGCAUCUCUACUGGCAAUGCCGGCGGCGAAAGUGGCAACUGCCGCGGCUUAUGCCGCGGGAAUCUGAUUAACGACCAACUUAACAUCCAUCUUGACCGAUCUCGAAAGGAACUUCUUCCUAUUGAACCCACUCGACGUGGCCGUUUCUUUAGCAGGCCACUCUUCAUGUUCCGUUGGCCACUAGCUAAAAGUGGCUUGUUUUUCAUUGGAAGAAGCAUCAGCAUGGACUGAUGGACUGAUGGUAGGAGUUUGGUCCGAAUCCAAAGCGUUGACCACGUUCCAGGCCUAGGGACAGAAGACACUUGUAGAUGUUGAUGGUCUUCCUGGAUCAGUCCUCGCUGGAAGAAGUACUGGCGCAUCGUUCCGAUCCAGCCAGAUUGAACUUAUUGAACAUGGGGGGCUUCGCGUUUAUGGCUCCGGCUCCUUCUACACCUACAACUACUAUGUUUCACUCGGCAGAUACCUAAAAGGCAUAAAAGUGUGUGAAAGGAUUGCAAAUGUUUCGUUUCCUUUGUGCGUCUCCAAAUUAGAAUACCCGUGUGCCUGUGCCUUUGCCAGUGCCAGGGUAUGAAAAAGGAGUAUGCGCCUCAGGCGCACUUUCAACCACCCCAGGAGCAGGCUUUGCCACAGUCCCAGCCACAGCCACAGCAGCAGCCACAGCCGCACCACCCACAGCCGCAGGAGCAACAGCAGCAACAUAAUGGCAAUGAACUUCAUUGUUGGAGCUUGCAAUGAUUUCUUAGAGAUUCCCGGCCACUUUUAUACAAUUCCUGCAUCCGUACAAUUUAAUCCAGACCCGUUUUUUUAUGAACUGGGCUUUAACGCUUAUUGCUUGCUAAUAUAG